rnacentral:rRNA from 1 species
GUGGGGAAUAUUGGGCAAUGGGGGAAACCCUGACCCAGCAACGCCGCGUGAAGGAAGAAGGUUUUCGGAUCGUAAACUUCUAUCCUUGGUGAAGAUAAUGACGGUAGCCAAGAAGGAAGCCCCGGCUAACUACGUGCCAGCAGCCGCGGUAAUACGUAGGGGGCAAGCGUUGUCCGGAAUGAUUGGGCGUAAAGGGCGCGUAGGCGGCCUGGUAAGUCUGGAGUGAAAGUCCUGCUUUUAAGGUGGGAAUUGCUUUGGAUACUGUCGGGCUUGAGGGCAGGAGAGGUAAGCGGAAUUCCCGGUGUAGCGGUGAAAUGCGUAGAGAUCGGGAGGAACACCAGUGGCGAAGGCGGCUUACUGGACUGUAACUGACGCUGAGGCGCGAAAGUGUGGGGAGCAAACAGGAUUAGAUACCCGUGUAGUCC